rnacentral:rRNA from 1 species
UACGUAGGAUGCAAGCGUUUGUCCGGAAUUAUUGGGCGUAAAGAGCGCGCAGGCGGUAUGACAAGUCAGAUGUGAAAGAGGCCGGCUUAACCGGCAAGGGUCAUUUGAAACUGUCAGACUAGAGUGCAGCAGAGGAUAGUGGAAUUCCCGGUGUAGUGGUGAAAUGCGUAGAUAUCGGGAGGAACACCAGUGGCGAAGGCGGGUCUCUGGGCCGUAACUGACGCUGAGGAGCGAAGCGUGGGAGCGAACAGG